UCAGAUUUCUUAUGAAUGGCAUUGGUCAAGGAAAUCCAUCUCUCUUUCUCCACAUUGCUCUUCCGCUGCCAUCUUCUGUUGCAACUCUCAGAAGUGAUUGAACCAGAAAACUUUGGGUUUACCAGGCAAAAAGUAUUAUACAACUCGUCAAAGUUAUUCUGAAAGGGAGUUCCAGAGAGGAUUAUCUUUCUUUUUGUCUUAACUCCUGUCAAAGCCUUCCAAACAAGACUCUGUUGAUUGCGAGGUGUGUGCCCUUCGUCAAGAACCACAAGACCAGGCAGUUGAAGAAAGAUUUCCCCAAGUCUUUCAUCACUUCUUUUUCCCUUCCGUCCACUGGCAAUCUGCUCAAAUAACUUGUAACUGAUUCCUAGAACACUUUUAUCCUUUGUCCAAGAGUACAGCUUUGUCAUUCGACUUCCAACCCUCCGAAGAAAUUCUGCAUCAGUCUUGAGUUCAUUUCCUGACAAGUCCUUGCUAUUAAAGUUAUGAAAAGGAAUUCU
rnacentral:lncRNA from 1 species